GUAGUCCUUGUCUCCUCUGCCUGUCUUGAUUCUGACUGAUAGUCCUCCAUCUUGAUUCCUUUAUGUUUCCCCCCUAGUCUACAACAGACCUGGCUAUGGGAUGGAUGGAAACCUGGAGUCCAUCAUGGGGACACCAGGGCCACAGCCUCAUCCCCUCAGCGGCGUCCCAGCAGCUCAGCCGAAGGAGCACUCCGCCCCCUAGCCAGGGGAACUGCCGCCAACCAAGGGUCUGCCAUCCUGUCUGCGGUUGACGACAGGCCACCUGAAAAUGUGAAAAUGGUGGUGUGACAGGGCUUCCUGCAAGGAAGAAUAAGGUGUGAAAGGUCAUAUGAGAUGCCAUGUUGAAGCAGGUGAACGUUAGCGGUCACUGUCUGCAGAUCUACCCUGAAAAUUGAAUCAGCCGGCAGGUUGGGGGCCAGGAGGCACGGGUGCCAAGCUACACUGAUUUAAUUGUGUGUGUGUGUGUGUGUGUAUGUGUGUGUGUAUGUGUGUGUGUGUGUGU
ensembl:lncRNA